rnacentral:sRNA from 1 species
GUGACAGAAAGAUCUAAACAUGCUACUCAAAUUGGAGAGAGUACAGAUUUUUCACACUAUGAUGGCAUCGUGGUUGUUGGUGGAGAUGGUUUGUAUCAAGAGCUGCUUCAAGGAAUAACUUUACAAG